GUGGGCCCACGAAGUCCCUCGAAUCCGGGCGGAUUCAAUCGGUGCCGACCGACGCAUUUCCGCUCGGAGCAGGGGGAGGUCGCGACCGGUUUCGGAGACGAGUCGUUGUCGGAGGGUCGUCCCCGGGCACCGAGCCUGGGUCCCCUCCUUCGAGACGUCUAUCCGGGACCUGGGUCCAUGGUUGGAGGCGUCCCUUCGAUUUCGCGCGCCUGGUGGGCGCGGCUUCCGUUCCGUUCCGCAGCGCCUCGAGUUCUUCCAGGCGUUCGGGGCGGACGAGGCUGCGAACCGCGUUGGCGUUGCGCCUUCGAGGGCGUCCGCGACGAGUAGGUCGGUCUCCCACCCGACCCGUCUUGAAACACGGACCAAGGAGUCUUACUGUCGUGCGAGUCGAAGGGAUAAUAAAAACCYUUUUCGGCGCAGCGAAAGCAAAGAUCGCGAUCCCCGUCUUUAUCACUGACGGGGCGCAGCGACCGCCCUUUCUGCAAGGAAGGAGCGAGAGCACGCCGGUAGGGACCCGAUAGGUGGUGAACUAUUCUCGGGCAGGACGAAGGCCGAGGAAACUCGGCUGGAGGUCCGAAGAGGUUCUGACGUGCAAAUCGAUCUCCCGACCCGAGUAUAGGGGCGAAAGACCAAUCGAACCACC
rnacentral:rRNA from 1 species